GAUGCAUUAUUCCUAAAAUGUACACUGUUCAAGAAAAUAAUUUCUCUUUUGAACGUUUCCAAUGUAUAUGAAAAGCUGAUGUAAAGAAAAUAAUUAUUAUUAUUUUUUGAAGGAAGAAAAUAAUAAUAAUAAAGGUUGGUUAAAAGAAUAUUGAAUGCAACCUACAAUUUUGCAAGAAUUCAGUUAUCAAUUGAACAAGCUAAAGAGUUAUUAAUUAUGUUUCUUGCAACUCUGGAAAUGUAAAACAAAAAAUAAAACUAUUUGAUUGAAGUAGAAUAAUUAUUUUACAUUAUAAAAAAAUCAAAUAAAGCUCUCUUUGUAACAUGCACAUGUAAAAACUAUGGCUUUUUUUUUUGAAGGGAUGUAAAAACUAUGGCUAAAAUUAUGAAGUUUGUGCAUGCAAUGAUCCUCUUUCUUUUUCUUUUUGCAAUUAAUGUCACUGCAUUUCGCGACCCCUGCAAUUUUGAUUUCGAUUGUAGAAAUUCAAAUUGUACUGCUCCUUAUGUUGCAACGUGUAUGUAUGAACAUUGUUAUUGUUGAAUGAUUAAAGUUCAAAUGAUGAAGAUACAAAUGAUAAGACCCUCUUCGAAUCUAGCCAUUGAGAAGUCAAUAUUUUAGUAGAAUAAGAUCUAUGAUUUCUUUGGUGUACUUGUAUUUGCUUCUACAAAUACUCCUUUGUAAUUCAAAUUCAAUAAGAUGAAAUGAUUCAUAUCAUUUUAAUAAAUUUUAGGGUAAAUACCUCUUUUCGUC